CUGCUCUUCUCACCCUCUGCUCCUUCUUCCCAAAUCAUUCACUAACACCUCUUCCUUUUCUCUAGCCCUCUCCAAGCCAUGAGAUGGAAGAGUGUCCUUAUAUGAAGACUGCUGGAGUUCCAUUGGCUGGAAGUGCCUCAGGCUGUGGCUGGUGUUUGAAGGGCUGCUCCACACAUAUCAAUCAUCCUUUGACAAGAUCUGGAAGAAAAAAAAAAACAACAAAAACCACCCCCCAAAAAGGUGAGGUUCCGAGAUGGUAUCUGGAUGAUGAACACAGAGAGAGCUUCCAUUGUUCCUCUUCUCCUUUGUGCAGAGGAAGCCGUUGGCUGUGACUACUGAGAACAGAAUGUCCCCUCACAUCCAAUAUGGUAUCAGCCCUGACAUCUCUUAAAUACAGAAAAUAACAAGAGGAAGAAUUCGUCUUCAUGAAUUGAAUUGUCAGUUCUGCAGACAAUUAUCAAAAAUUUUACAGGAACACCUUGAGAGAUGUCGAAGUGUUUAUUUCAACAGCCCAAAGAAGAGAACCACAAUAUGGACACUCUCUGUCUUCACAAAUCCCCCAACGCAUGUUUUAUUCAACCUUCCAAUUUUUAGACAAAGAUUCUUGUUAGCCUCAUGAAAGACCUGGAUACUGGGGGAAAGAUGGUAUCAUAUUUUCAAUUAUGAUCAACUCACCUAAUCUGACGGAAGUGGUAAGAAGGAAGCUGGUGUGUAUGCUGAUUGUGAUUUUGAGAAUAAACUCUUACUUCUAAACCACUUACAAAAGUAUUUGCUUUUAGGAAAUGCUGUGUCUGGGUGAGGUACUAGUGGCAGUAACACCUAUUGUACUGUGACAAGUAUUUAAUGGAAUUUAGAAGUAAGGUUGAGCUAAGGAUGCUCCCAAUGUGGCAGGAUUCACAGCAAAGUAUACAAAGGAAAGACUAUGAGUGGAAAGUGACUUGUUAGAAUGUGAGCAGAGAUGUGUCCAGAGCCUCUUCCACCUGCUCGUGUGAAACCCUUAAAAGAUCCUCUAAAGUCUCUCCAGUGGUUCUGUCCAAGUGGAAAGAAGAGAAGGAAUAAGGUAGAGUAGGAAAAGGAGUUCUUCAUGCUUGGGAACGUGAAGAACAUUCUCCUAAAGUAAUGUUCUUAUUUCUAUUAAUCAGCUGUGCAUUGCUCAGGUGAUUUCUGAGAUGAGAUGCAUCAGAAUCCGUGCAUAUCUUUUGUGGUUCCAGAUAACAGCCUACUUCACUAAAAAAAAUCUUCCAGAAUCAUUAAGAGCAUUAAUUUUCAAAACUGUAGAAGGACUAUGGACAUCUUGUGCUUUUAGAGAAUGAACACACAACACAUUUUCUGUUAUAUCAGAGCUUACAGCUUCUAUCAAUUAAGAAAGUAUGGCUCCACUCAAUGAGCUAUAAAGUGAUAGCACAAGAAGGACUUUAGGAAUCAUUGAGCUCCCUUAUCUCUUUGGACAGAUGAGCAAACUGAGACCCAAACAGGAGAGGAGAGGACAAAGUCUUACCCUGGUCGCCUACUGAAUUUGUGGCAGGGUCAAACAACAUUUAUCCCAGAUUCUCAACUGACAUUUCCUUAUACUGUCUUCAUUUUGACCAUUAGCUUGUCAGCUUAAAGGAUUCAAUUAAUUCAAACAGGAUCUUGUAAUUAAAAAAAAUAGAAAAUACAAAAUACAAAAUCAGACUAACUUUCCGUGAGUCACUUUUCCAAAAUGUUUUGUAUCAAUGUGUAACAAACGAG
rnacentral:lncRNA from 10 species